AGGUGCGACCAUACUAGCGUUAAUGCACCGGAUCCCAUCAGAACUCCGCAGUUAAGCGCGCAUGGGCUAGAGUAGAACUGGGAUGGGUGACCUCCCAGGAAGUCCUAGUGUUGCAUCCU
rfam:Picea glauca, whole genome shotgun sequence.